rnacentral:rRNA from 1 species
CCCUUUGGUAUUCCUUAGAGGCAUGCCUGUUCGAGCGUCAUCUACACCCUCAAGCACUGCUUGGCGUUGGGUGCCUGUCCCGCCCCGCGCGUGGACUCACCUCAAAUCCAUUGGCGGCCCCGCGUCGGCUCCGAGCGCAGCAGAAACGCGAACUCGUGGCCCGGCGCGGUGGCUCCCAGAAGCUACACCCACCAUUUUGACCUCGGAUCAGGUAGGGAUACCCGCUGAACUUAGGCAUAUCAAUAAGCGGAGGGAAAGAAACCAACAGGGAUUGCCCUAGUAACGGCGAGUGAAGCGGCAAGAGCUCAAAUUUGAAAUCUGGCCCCCUCGGGGUCCGAGUUGUAAUUUGCAGAGGGUGCUUUGGCGUUGGCUGUGGUCUAAGUUCCUUGGAACAGGACGUCGCAGAGGGUGAGAAUCCCGUAUGUGACCGCCAGCCUCCGCCGUGUAAGGCCCCUUCGACGAGUCGAGUUGUUUGGGAAUGCAGCUCUAAAUGGGAGGUAAAUUUCUUCUAAAGCUAAAUACUGGCCAGAGACCGAUAGCGCACAAGUAGAGUGAUCGAAAGAUGAAAAGCACUUUGGAAAGAGAGUCAAAAAGCACGUGAAAUUGUUGAAAGGGAAGCCCUUGCAGCCAAACUUGCCUGUAGUUGCUCACCCGGGCUCUCGCCCGGUGCACUCUUCUGCGGGCAGGCCAACAUCAGUCCAGGCGGUCGGAGAAAUGGCCGCUAAAUGUACCUCUCCUCGGGGAGGACUUAUAGGGCGGUCGGCAUGCGACCAGCCUGGACUGAGGUCCGCGC